rnacentral:tRNA from 1 species
GCCGAGGUAGCUAAGUGGACUAAAGCGCCGGCCUUGAGAGCCGGUGUCCCGCACGGGACCCAAGGGUUCAAAUCCCUUCCUCGGCG